GGAUCAGGAGUUGAGGAUGCGGCUCUCCCUCCCCCUCGUCGCCGGCGCCGUCGUGUGAGUCAGCCCCCCUCCCCACUCUCCUCUGUUUUCUCCAUCUCUCUGUACCAUCUCGUCGUAGAUCUGUUGCGGCGUCGCCGCAUCCUGCCAGUCUGCCGCUGUUUAGAUGCGUUCUUGAGCUUGAGCGCUGACCCUAUAUUAUGCGCUGUUCUUGAUCCUUUUUGCAAGUUGCAGCCGCGGGAGUCGAUAGUUAAGGGAUUUUAUUUCUGUGAUUAGCCGCCGUCUUGCUAUUGCGAAGAGAAAUAGCGCUGAUUCUUGCCCAGGAUCGAGGUUCCUGCGUGCUGGCGGGGAGGGUAAUAACCAAUUGGUUUCGAGCAUGUGUUAGAUGUAGAUGGGGUUGCGACACCACAAUGGGCAUUAUCUGCGCAACAACUGUAGGUAGCAAGAUCGAAUCGCCAUUGGGGGGCUUGUUCUUGAGACCCUCUGUGUAAGGGGUAAUUAUCGUCCCGUCAAAAGCAGUGCUUUCUUGAAGUUCUGCUGCUACUGUUUGCCAAGUACUAGUGUUCUUGACAAGAUGGCGGUGUCUGUUUUGUAGCGCAAAAGUAUCAGAUGGUCAAACCCAGUCUAGUCUCAUCGCACAAUUGUCAAAGACAGUCUAUUGGUAUUUCUCUGUUCUCUGAUUGAGAAUUUGGCCUGAAAAAGGAUUUUUCCAUGGUAGCAGCACCAGUAAGCAUUUCUUAGUGCAGGCUUCCUGUUGUGUGGGGAAUGCCUUAUACCGCACGGCCUAAAAUUCCCACCAGUACGCACCAAUAAGCGUAAAGAUCUCUUAUCUAUAAUUUAUAAUGUUUCAUUAUCUGUUAGCUUGUAAUUUAAGCCAAUUAGGGAGAUGAUCUGGUUGCUAUACUUUGUUUCGAUUAUCAGGCUACAUCUAUUUAUAGAGGAACCAUUGGAUAUGGUAAUAAAGAAAUUAAGUUUUCUCACAGCCAAAUUCCCCCUUAUAUGUUCUCUCCCCUCUUCUCCUAAUUGUGUGACCUGGCUGCCAUUAUGAUACCUGGUCACCCUAAUUACUAUCUUGAACGUUGAACCACUGUUUAUCUCUUUGAGCCAAAGAUCCCAAUUUAUUUUUCAAAGAAUGUAAAUACUUACACUGCCCUAGUACAAAAAGGCAUGUCUUGGGUUAUAUGCUGCAAUCACAUUACUUUGUUCAGUGGCUAUUGGUAGUGGAAUCUGUCCUUUUGCAGUAAUGUGGCUGGCACAAGGUUUAAUGUGUAGAUUGGGAUGAAAAUUGCUUGUAAAAUGUGGUUCAUGCGGGUACACUGGGCAUCACAUUGUUAAGGUUGCAUCCCUAGAACUGCAUCUUACAUCAUUGAUCUAGUCAGAUGCUGUUACACAUUUAUGAUCGCUCGUGCGUUCCUGUGGCUAUUUCUUUGAAUUGUCGUCAGUCAGUGAAAGUGCUAUUUUGUGCUGUGCUGGUAGUUCAUUAUCGUCACAUACCCGCUUCUAACUUGGUCAUUCUGCCUUGAAAAUGCCUCAGGGCUGGAGUGAUUUCUGGGAAUGUGAUAUUUGGGCCGCCGCUCCAGAAGUACUGGGCAGAGAAGCAGCAGCAAGAUCAGGCGGCAAAAGAAGCCCAAACCGGGUCGACUUAACGAAGAUAUCCUCAUGUUGCCCCGAGUCAGUGUCGCCAUACUUCCCUCGAUCAGUCGCAGACGCAUAAUUCUGAAACUAGUUCAAUGAUGUGAAAAUGUACUUGGGUUAUUCGAUAGCCUCGUUUUUUGUUAGCUUUGCUUGAAUUAACUGCCCUAUCUUUGGUACUGGAAGGCAUCGUUUGUACCAUGUACAGAAUGAAUUCGAAUCCAAGCCACCAUUCUGGUCAAACUUUUGUUUGAAUUCAGUUUCAUUUCUUUGGUUCAAACCCAGCUGCACACUACUGUCGCCAAACCUCGUUCAGUGCUUUUUCGGCCUGGUUAUCCUACUGGGCUUUACCUCGGCCUAUUUGGUUGUGAGCCCAGCCCGGCACGGCCCAGUCUAG
rnacentral:lncRNA from 1 species